CCUACGGGAGGCUGCAGUGGGGAAUAUUGGACAAUGGGCGAAAGCCUGAUCCAGCCAUGCCGCGUGUGUGAAGAAGGCCUUCGGGUUGUAAAGCACUUUCAGUGGGGAAGAAAGCCUUGGGGCUAAUACCCUCGAGGAAGGACAUCACCCACAGAAGAAGCACCGGCUAACUCCGUGCCAGCAGCCGCGGUAAUACGGAGGGUGCGAGCGUUAAUCGGAAUUACUGGGCGUAAAGCGCGCGUAGGCGGUCUGAUAAGCCGGUUGUGAAAGCCCCGGGCUCAACCUGGGAACGGCAUCCGGAACUGUCAGGCUAGAGUGCAGGAGAGGAAGGUAGAAUUCCCGGUGUAGCGGUGAAAUGCGUAGAGAUCUGGAGGAAUACCAGUGGCGAAGGCGGCCUUCUGGACUGACACUGACGCUGAGGUGCGAAAGCGUGGGUAGCAAACAGGAUUAGAUACCCUAGUAGUC
rnacentral:rRNA from 1 species